GGGCCACAGCCCAGCAGUAGAGCUCCUGCCUUGAAAGCAGAGGGUCCCUGGUUCAAUCCCUGGCGGCAUCU